AUACUUUGCUGAAUCCACUUGUU
rnacentral:snRNA from 1 species